AACGAACGCUGGCGGCAGGCUUAACACAUGCAAGUCGAGCGCCCCGCAAGGGGAGCGGCAGACGGGUGAGUAACGCGUGGGAAUCUACCGUACCCUACGGAAUAGCUCCGGGAAACUGGAAUUAAUACCGUAUACGCCCUACGGGGGAAAGAUUUAUCGGGGUACGAUGAGCCCGCGUUGGAUUAGCUAGUUGGUGGGGUAAAGGCCUACCAAGGCGGCGAUCCAUAGCUGGUCUGAGAGGAUGAUCAGCCACAUUGGGACCGAGACACGGCCCAAACUCCUACGGGAGGCAGCAGUGGGGAAUAUUGGACAAUGGGCGCAAGCCUGAUCCAGCCAUGCCGCGUGAGUGAUGAAGGUCUUAGGAUUGUAAAGCUCUUUCACCGAUGAAAAUAAUGACGGUAGUCGGAGAAGAAGCCCCGGCUAACUUCGUGCCAGCCGCCGCGGUAAAAC
rnacentral:rRNA from 1 species